rnacentral:rRNA from 1 species
GAUGAACGCUGGCGGCGUGCCUAAUACAUGCAAGUCGCGCGAACAGACGAGAGUGCUUGCACUCUCUGACGUUAGCGGCGGACGGGUGAGUAACACGUGGGUAACCUACCUAUAAGACUGGGAUAACUUCGGGAAACCGGAGCUAAUACCGGAUAAUAUUUAGCUUCGCAUGAAGCAAUAGUGAAAGACGGUUCUGCUGUCACUUAUAGAUGGACCCGCGGUGUAUUAGCUAGUUGGUGAGGUAACGGCUCACCAAGGCAACGAUACAUAGCCGACCUGAGAGGGUGAUCGGCCACACUGGGACUGAGACACGGCCCAGACUCCUACGGGAGGCAGCAGUAGGGAAUCUUCCGCAAUGGACGAAAGUCUGACGGAGCAAUGCCGCGUGAGUGAAGAAGGUUUUCGGAUCGUAAAACUCUGUUGUAAGGGAAGAACAAGUACGUUAGUAACUGAACGUACCUUGACGGUACCUUACCAGAAAGCCACGGCUAACUACGUG